UGGGGAAUAUUGCACAAUGGGCGAAAGCCUGAUGCAGCAACGCCGCGUGAGUGAUGAAGGCCUUCGGGUUGUAAAGCUCUGUCUUUUGGGACGAUAAUGACGGUACCAAAGGAGGAAGCCACGGCUAACUACGUGCCAGCAGCCGCGGUAAUACGUAGGUGGCAAGCGUUGUCCGGAUUUACUGGGCGUAAAGGAUGCGUAGGCAGAUUUUUAAGUGAGAUGUGAAAACCCUAAGCUUAACUUGGGGACUGCAUUUCAUACUGGAAAUCUAGAGUGCGGGAGAGGAGAAUGGAAUUCCUAGUGUAGCGGUGAAAUGCGUAGAGAUUAGGAAGAACACCAGUGGCGAAGGCGAUUCUCUGGACCGUAACUGACGCUGAGGCAUGAAAGCGUGGGUAGCAAACAGGAUUAGAUACCCUGGUAGUCCACGCCGUAAACGAUGAGUACUAGGUGUAGGAGGUAUCGACCCCUUCUGUGCCGCAGUUAACACAAUAAGUACUCCGCCUGGGAAGUACGAUCGCAAGAUUAAAACUCAAAGGAAUUGACGGGGUCAUAGCUG
rnacentral:rRNA from 1 species